CUGCUAGAGAAUAAUAUCUUGUUGAAUAAAAGUAUUUUCCAACUAGCAGUACCACUUGACUUUUCCUUAUUUAAGGAGCUGGAACCACAACCUUUUCCCUUAAGCUAAUUAACAUCCUUAGAUUGAGGCACCUCAAUACACUACUAUUGUGCUUGUUCUUCUUUUCUUUUUGUUACUUGCACGGUUUCAAUCAAUCGAAUUUGGAUCCUCUACUGCCUCUACAGCGGACGUUAGAUACAUAGCAUGGGUUGGACACGAGAGGAGAACAGGCGUUUUGAGGAUGCUCUUGCUGUGUAUGGACCGGAGGACCCCAACCGGUGGCAACACGUGGCCAACGCCGUUGGUGGAAAAUCUGUAGAUGAAGUGAAAAGGCAAUAUGAGGUCCUGAAGGAGGAUGUCAAACGUAUUGAGCGUGAUCAAGUCCCGUUUCCCAGGUACAGAGGUUCUGCAAGUGGCAUCAAUGAACACAGGCGGUUGAAGAAUCUAAAUGUGCAGUGAAGAGAAGACUACUGGAGCUGUGGAAGUUACUGCUUUCUAGUUUCUAUUUCUCAGCAUGUCAAUUGCUAUUUGUGCCUAUGCAUAACUGCAUCCUGUUUGCAACUAAUUAUGUCAAUAUCCUCUGUAUUUCUUUCACCCUAUUAUAUUUUGUAAGAAAUAUCAUCAUGUAAUGUAUACCUUAAUUUGCUAGCUAUUUUCAAAAAAAUUGUGUCGCCUAUUUAGAUUCUGUACUAAAAAAACUCCUACUGUAACCAAAAAAAGAUUCUGUACUAAAAAUAACAAAUAAUACUAUUGUUAUACCAUGGCAUGGCACAGCAACCACCAAAUGGUGUAGCUAUAUAUAGUUAGUUAGAAAAUAAAACGGAGACAAAUUUCCAAAGAUAACAAAUUAGCAUGCGAGGUUGUUGGGUUGCGCUACAUAUAAAACACCAAAUUCUAAUCAAACAACGUUGCACUUCAUUGCCAGUACCCUUGGUUUAUAAAAAUUUCAAGGCGUUUCUUCAAUAAAAACCUUGAUUCCAGGGAAAAUUAAUCAAGAAAAUGGCAGCAAAGAUCGUACCAUUCUUGGUUCUGGUGUUUUGCCUGGUGCAAUUGGGCUCAGUUUUGGGUCAGGAAGGUUCAUUUCAGGAUCUGAUAGGACAGGGAGAAGGUUUCUCUUCUACUCUGGAGGAGGCUAAGAAGGCUUUGGGUGCUGCAAAUGAAGUUGCAUCAGCUCAAGGAGCUUUAAACGAUUAUUUUGGGGAUGGAGCUGAUGAAGGUAGCGAUGGAGGAGCUGCAUCUCUCGCUGGAUUGUUAGAUACAUCAGAAAGUGCGAGCAGCGAAUCAGGAAGUCCACCACCACAAACAGAUUCACCUGUUGGUGCACCUGAAGAUUUACCUGCAGAUUCACCUGCAGAUGCAGCUGAUGCCGAUUCUGACAUUUCACCAGCACCAGCAGCAGGAGCACCACAAAGCUCACCCGCGGCGGCGCCUCAACAAGCACCAAUCAACUCACCUUCGGAAGCACCAGUGAAUGCACCUACACCCACACCCACAUCCACAUUUGCACCCUUGAAGGCACCUGCAAGUGCACCAGUCGCAGAGUCACCUGAAGAAGUGGCGGCUGUACCAGCAGCAGCAGCUAAUGCUCCUGCUACAGAGGCACCCACUGAUGCACCUGCAGCGGCACCUAUAGAUGAUAAUGAAGAUGAGGAUGUAGAUGAGGAUAAAUUUGCGCCUACAAAUGCUCCUGCGGAUGCACCUGGAGCACAAGAUGAUGAUGAAGAUGCAUAGAAUUAAUUGAUUAAUUGAUAGCAAGGUCUUAUUCUAAUUGAAUUUGAUUAUUACAUUGAGAAUUAAUUAUGUUCCAAUUUUAAACCAUGUUUGUCACACCUAUUGAAAAAGGUGCCUAAUUGUUGUCCUCAUGUUAUGCCUACAUGAAGAAUUAAUAAAUGUUUCUCUAAUUAGUUUAUUAUUUCA